GACGAACGCUGGCGGCGUGCCUAAUACAUGCAAGUCGAACGAAGCUGUUUUAACUGGUGCUUGCACCGACUUAAACAACUGAGUGGCGAGCGGGUGAGUAACACGUGGGUAACCUGCCCCAAAGCGGGGGAUAACAUUUGGAAACAGAUGCUAAUACCGCAUAACCACAGAAACCACAUGGUUUCUGUGUCAAAGAUGGUUUCGGCUAUCACUUUGGGAUGGACCCGCGGCGUAUUAGCUAGUUGGUAAGGUAAUGGCUGACCAAGGCAAUGAGACGUAGCCGAACUGAGAGGUUGAUCGGCCACACUGGGACUGAGACACGGCCCAAACUCCUACGGGAGGCAGCAGUAGGGAAUCUUCCACAAUGGACGAAAGUCUGAUGGAGCAACGCCGCGUGAGUGAAGAAGGUUUUCGGAUCGUAAAACUCUGUUGUCAGAGAAGAACGUGUGCGAGAGUAACUGUUCGUGCAGUGACGGUAUCUGGCCAGAAAGCCACGGCUAACUACGUGCCAGCAGCCGCAGUAA
rnacentral:rRNA from 1 species